AUAUACUCCCAGGUCUUUCUCUGGCUCUGUGGUGGAUAGUGGAGUGUUUCCCAUGUGGUAUUGGUGUGCUGGAUAUCCCUUCACUGGUAGCCUGGUAACAUACACUCCCAGGUCUUUCUCUGCCUCUGUGGUGGAUAGUGGAGUGUUUCCCAUGUGGUAUUGGUGUGCUGGAUAUCCCUUCACUGGUAGCCUGGUAACAUAUGCUCCCAGGUCUUUCUCUGGCUCUGUGGUGGAUAGUGGAGUGUUUCCCAUGUGGUAUUGGUGUGCUGGAUAUCCCUUCACUGGUAGCCUGGUAACAUACACUCCCAGGUCUUUCUCUGGCUCUGUGGUGGAUAGUGGAGUGUUUCCCAUGUGGUAUUGGUGUGCUGGAUAUCCCUUCACUGGUAGCCUGGUAACAUACACUCCCAGGUCUUUCUCUGGCUCUGUGGUGGAUAGUGGAGUGUUUCCCAUGUGGUAUUGGUGUGCUGGAUAUCCCUUCACUGGUAGCCUGGUAACAUAUGCUCCCAGGUCUUUCUCUGGCUCUGUGGUGGAUAGUGGAGUGUUUCCCAUGUGGUAUUGGUGUGCUGGAUAUCCCUUCACUGGUAGCCUGGUAACAUAUGCUCCCAGGUCUUUCUAUGGCUCUGUGGUGGAUAGUGGAGUGUUUCCCAUGUGGUAUUGGUGUGCUGGAUAUCCCUUCACUGGUAGCCUGGUAACAUAUGCUCCCAGGUCUUUCUCUGGCUCUGUGGUGGAUAGUGGAGUGUUUCCCAUGUGGUAUUGGUGUGCUGGAUAUCCCUUCACUGGUAGCCUGGUAACAUAUGCUCCCAGGUCUUUCUCUGGCUCUGUGGUGGAUAGUGGAGUGUUUCCCAUGUGGUAUUGGUGUGCUGGAUAUCCCUUCACUGGUAGCCUGGUAACAUAUGCUCCCAGGUCUUUCUCUGGCUCUGUGGUGGAUAG